UACAGAGGUCUCAAGCGUUGUUCGGAUUCAUUGGGCGUAAAGGGUGCGUAGGUGGCGAGGUUAGUCAGGUGUGAAAUCUCGGGGCUCAACCCCGAAACUGCACUUGAUACUGCCUUGUUAGAGUACUGGAGAGGAGAUUGGAAUUUACGGUGUAGCAGUGAAAUGCGUAGAUAUCGUAAGGAAGACCAGUGGCGAAGGCGAAUCUCUGGACAGUUACUGACACUGAGGCACGAAGGCCAGGGGAGCAAACGGG
rnacentral:rRNA from 1 species